UCAGGAGUUGAGCAGCUGAAAGUUCUCGAGUGGGAGAUGAACUGCUUCCAGCUGCACACACAGACACGGCCCAGAGGAGGGCUUCCGGCGUCCGGAUCCGGCUUGCCCGGUCGUUUGCAGGCUCAGACAGACAGGUUCCCGUCGGUGGACAGACGGCUACGGUGUGUGAAUUGCAUAUUUAUUUGUUGUCCGAAGACAAAGCUUCCUGGAUGCAAAAGGGAUAGACCGUCCCCAGAGUUGGCUGAGCGCAGAGAGAAAUCCUUGACGUAAGUCCUCCUCCCUCCCCAGGGCAGCUUUGCACCCCAUCACUGAGGCGCUGUAGUUGGGGGGCGAGGAGAGAGGAUUAUUUCUUUCACUUCCGCAGUAGCUUGCCCUCACUUUUUCCUUGAAUAAGUGACUCUGUGAUGGUGCCAGCAUUCAUGGCUUUCCACAACCUGAGUUGUGCAGGGAACCACAGCUAUUUCCAGUAGAAUCAGACCCCAGCUGAGUAGCAUCCUGCCCUUUUCCUUUUUUCCCAGAACUGCAGAAAUGCCAACCGGCCUGGCACCAGGCACGAAGGAUGCACGCACGUCUCCUCUUCCCUGGUCCUCCCAGAAGCAAGUUCCCUUGGCUGACAACCCAGGGCACAACUCCUGCUUCCGUGAGUGCCUAAUACAAGAGUUGAAGCUCCCGGAGCCUUCUUUGAAAAAUGCCAUGCCUAAUGUUCUACUACAGAUGUUUGCCUUGAGUCAAAUAUGGAGCUUAUGUAAAAUUAUAUGUAGGUUGGUGAUUAUUCUUGAAAUGGAUGGCUACCCUUUCUUUAUGUUUUAAGCGACCCGGCAAGUACGACCUGAUACCACUGAGAGAAUCACGAAAACGACCAAUAGCUAAACAUUUAAAACUCUUGAAAAUUUCCUCUUUUGUACCUUUUCAUCUUAACCACAGUAUUGCUGGAGAUUAUUCUUUGUGCUUAAUAUUAGAUAUUUAGCCCCUCUUUGUUUGAUAACCCAAAUGUUCUUUUAAAAAUCAUUUUACUGGUAUUUGAGAAAGAAGGAAAAUUUUGGAUUCUCUGCAUUUUGAGAUCUUUCCUAGAACUACAGUAAGUGUGCAGAAAAUCAGGUUUUAAUUUGUUCACAAAGGCCAAUGUGACACCGUCAGACCAGAGUUUUCCCUCUUUAGCUCUCAUGGGUCCUGGAGGCGAUGCUGUAGGGCACUGACUGUGACAGCCGGGGACACUGGGUCAUGUGCACCCUGAGAUUGUUUUCUGAGUUCCUCCCUUGCAGCUCCCAGGUGAAGAGAGUGCUGCUCCUGGCAUUACCCAUUCACUUGAUGUAAAGAAGUAUGGGGUCUAAAAUACUGCAUUUCACGUAAAACUGUUUGAUUAAAAAUCUUGGUUGUUUCCUUUCUUUUAUUUCCCUUUUAAAUCCUUUUGACUUGUGGAUAGCCAUAAAGGAAAUGAGCAGAAUAAACGAUGAUGUGACACUAUCAUAGUUUGUAACUUUCAUUAAAAUACAUUCAAUUUAAGGGUCAUAAACGAUGCUACAAAAUGAUAUUUGGGAGGAAAAUAGCGUUUUUCACAGCCUGGUGCUGACCUCUGUAGCUGACGGUCGUUUUAGCAGAGUCACUGUAUUGUCUGUCUACCUAUCUCACCCGGAAAGAUUUCAGUCUUUCUGGUCCCCUCCAACAGAACCAGAUUUGGUUGGUUAUAAAAUUUGAGAAUGGACCCAUGGAUGCUGGCUAGAUUAUAGUGGACUUUUCAUUUUUUUCUAGCUUGCCACAUGCCUCUCUCCAGCACUAACUGGUAAAAUAUUAUUCUCUGGUCAUUUUGAACUUGAAUUUAAUUGUACAUUGAUGUGAUCCAUAUUAAGAACUAUUUUUUUUAUCUAUUUAUGUAUGAUAGUCACAGAGAGAGAGAGAGAGGCACAGAGACACAGGCAGAGGGAGAAGCAGGCUCCAUGCACCAGGAGCCCGACAUGGGAUUCGAUCCCGGGUCUCCAGGAUCGCGCCCUGGGCCAAAGGCAGGCGCCAAACCGCUGUGCCACCCAGGGAUCCCCCAAGAACUAAUUUUAAGUUGAAAAUCAAGGUGGUAUGUAUGAAAGAGAGUAGAAUUUAAACCCAGGAGACCUAGUUUCUAAUUCUGUGUACCCUGUUUGCUGUCUGUAUAACCAUGGACACAUCUUUUAAACUUCUUGAAUAUCAAUUAUCUUUUUAAAAAUAAGGAUUCAAUUGUUCUCCUACUUUCCACAUCGAAUUUUUGGAUGAAUCAAAAGAUAAUGUAUGUAAAUAUGUUUAGUAUAGAAAUUAUUAUUACUAAUUAGGAGAUUAUUGGAAAUAAUUGUUAUUAAUAAUUAGAAGAAUCCUUUAGACUAUAUGUAGAAUGGAGCUUAUAUUUCAUUGUACUUUAAAGAAAAUGAUAAGAAGGAAGAAAAUUAUUUUUUUUAAUUUUUUAAAAAAGGUUUUUAUUUAUUUAUUCAUGAGAGACACAGAGAGAGAGAGAGAGAGAGAGAGGCAGAGACACAGGCAGAGGGAGAAGCAGGCUCCAUGCAGGGAGCCCGAUGUGGGACUCGAUCCCGGGUCUCCAGGAUCAUGCCCUGGGCUGAAGGCAGCGCUAAACCACGGAGCCACCCAGGCUGCCUGAAGAAAAUUAAAUACAAUGACAAAAUUAUGGAAGAAAGAUUUGGUGAUAAAAAUAACAUUUUGGAGAACUUUGCUAUAUUAUUUAUUCAUUUAUAUAUAACACCACUAAAUCACUAAAUCUAAAUAAGUUUCUGAACAUAAAUAAGCCUGCUUGUGCAUAUUCCUAUUUAUCACUUUUUAGUACAAGAACUGAAACAAGAGUAGAAGAAAGUUGGAUUCAGAACAUUAAAAACUUGUUCAUUUACUUUGUUGUUUGUGGUUUAACUUAUGCUGUUGGCCAUUAUGUUCAUUGUGCCCUAACUUAUUACCAGAAAGAUUCAAGAGAGCAAACUAAAGCUAAUUUUAAAAAUGCUUUGAUUUGGGCUGAAAAACAACAGUGAAUCAAAGGUAAAUACUGUAAAAAAAUAUUCUAAAGAUCUCCUUUCCUUGUUUGUAAAAAUCAUUAGCUCUUCUAAACACUCCAUUAACUCGGGAUGUCAUGACUUUGGUACCUGGAAUAUUGUUUGAGAAAGGUGUGGAGUAUUUAUUUAGUUGUACUGUGCUCAGAAUUAUUUAAUCAGAAUCCCUGGACGUGGUGGUAAGAAUACCAGUAUUUUUUGCAAAUGGCAGGAUUUCCUUCUUUUUCAAGGCUGAAUAAUAUUCCAUUGUAUGUACAACCCACUCUUAAAAACCCAUUCAUCUGGGGUUUCCCGGGUGGCUCAGUGGUUUAGCGCCUGCCUUCAGCCCAGGGUGUGAUCCUGGGUUCCCGGGAUCAAGUCCCACAUCAGGCUCCCUGCAUGGAGCCUGCUUCUCCCACGGCCUGUGUCUCUACCUCUCUCCCUGUAUGUGUCUCUCAAGAAUUCAUAAAUAAAAUCUUUAAAAAAAAAACCAUUCAUCUGAAGAUGGGCACAUAUGGUGUGGUUGCACAACAUAGUGUCUGUAGUUAACAAUAUUUUGUUAGAUGCUUAAAAAUUUUUUAAGAGGGUAAAUCUUGUAUUAAACAUUCUUACCACAAACAAAUAAAAAUUAGAACUAGGAAACUUUUGGAAGUGACUGAUAUGUCUAUUAUUGUGCCUAUGAUUGAUGGUGGUGGUAGUUUCUGGGAUGUAUACCUAUGUCCAACCUCAUCAAAUUACAUACAUUAAAUAUGUCUAUUGCAUCCAUUAUACUCCCAACAAAGCUCCCCCCGCCCCCAAGAAUGCUAACAUCUGAAAAUUAAACAAAUAUGCUGGGGACUCCUGGGUGGCUCAGUGGUUGAACAUCUGCCUUCCACUCAAGUCAUGAUCCCAGGGUCCUAGGAUCAAGUCCUGCAUCGGGCUCCCUCUGGGGAGCCUGCCUCUUCCUCUACUUGUGUCUCCAUCUCUCUCUGUCUGUGUCUCUCAUGAAUGGAUGAAUAAAAGCUUAAAAGAAAAAAUAAACAAAUAUGCUGAAUGGAGUAUUUGGCAUAUUAAAAUUUGUUCUGCAUUGACACAAUCAUCACUUUGGUCUAAAACCUAUGUAAGUGGGAUCCCUGGGUAGCUCAGCAGUUUAGCGCCUGCCUCUGGCCCAGGGUGUGAUCCUAGAGUCCCGGGAUCAAGUCCCACAUCAGGCUCCCUACAUGGAGCUUGCUUCUCCCUCUGCCUGUGUCUCUGCCUCUCUCUCUCUGUCUCUCAUGAAUCAAUAAAUAAAUUAUUUAAAAUAAAUAAAUAAAUAAAACCUAUGUAAGUAUG
rnacentral:lncRNA from 1 species